UCUCUCUCCCUCUCCCAAAUCACUCUCAAUCUCACCUCUUCCCUCAAUCAAUCUCUCUCGUGUAAUUGCUCUUUCUUCCUCCUGCCGUUGCUAUAACCGCCGGGUCUUUGCCGCCGCUUUCUCUUCCGGCCAGAACCACCACCGUGGCACCGCCUGUAUCUUCCUCCUUCCGGCAACCACCAUAGCCCUGCACCAGUUAUAAAUCAGUGGGUAUAAAGAUUAAUUUAUCUUUGUCAAAUCAGUUCUAUAUAAACGUAUAUAUAUGUGGUGUUGUGUUUAUAUGGAUUAAAUUGAUUUAUAUAAUCGAUUUAUGUGUGCUUGUAUGUAUACAAACUGAUUAUAUGCUUGAAAUUGAAGGUUGAUUUCAUUUUUGAGAUUGAGAUUGGUGUUAGUAAUUGUAUGAUUGAAUUGUGUCCUUAAUUGAUAUUUGAAUUGGUUGUUGUAGGUUGAUUAUAAAUAGUGCGCCAACUAGUAGUUUAAUCGGAUGACUUGGGUACUUGAAUUGUGGGAAUAUAUAACUGAGUAUUCAAGCUUUAAGGUCUGAGAUUUGUGUAAAUGUUUUCAGAAUGGUGUUUUAAGAGUUUAAGCAUUGGGUUAAAAAUUUAGAUUUACACAUAAUCGGUUGAAUUGUAGGUUGCUGCUGAUCUGUUUUGCCGUACAAUUCUGGGCUCAUAGAUUUGAAUUAUAUGCUUAAUCUUUGUGUGGUUAUGUGCUCCUCAGAGUCUAGUUUAUGUGCGCGAAAGAAUCGAAUCGAUUCGAUUAGCGAGCUAGGAGAUAUGACCGUUUUAGUAUGGUAUGCGCAGAAAAUACUGGACAGGGUCUGUUAUACUGAUUGCAGACUCUGUUUGGAGGUCUUAUACUUGGUGUUUAAUUCUGAAAUCUUUACUGGAGUUAGAUGUUAGUGUCUGGAAUAUGUCAUUAAAAUUUUAUACAAACAGACCAAUUUUCCUAUUUAUUAAAAUUCUUAGCGUGGGGCUGGUUCUGCAGGACAGACUCAGGUUCUUGACUUGCAGGCCCUGUUUUACUCCCUUAAACAUGGAAUUUUCUUCUGAAAUUUUUAUAGUAGAUUGGAAUAAUGUUUAGGAGUGUCUCAUAGAAAUUUUGUAUUAAAGAGAUAAAUUUUCAAUUUAUUAAAAAUCAUAGAGUGAGGGCUGUUUGAACUAUUUGUUCUCGUCUUCUUUCUUUGAUUAGUGCAUAGGAGGAGGUUAUACUUGGUUGGUCAGUGUUAAUCAUGUUUAAUAGUGAUAUAUGAUUUCAAAUCUAGCUAUGCAAGUGUGCAUACUGUGAUAUUGUGUUUUAAUUGAUAUUGGUCCAGUACUUAUUUGUUUAUUGAGUUGGAUUGAGUUGGUUACUUGUUGAAUAAUAUAAGAAAACAGGUGGAUAGUCCGAUAAAUAGAGGAAGUGCUGUCGAAUUUUCGUUAGAAACUAUAUAUGUUUUACUUGUUGAAGGAUAUUAAAUAGAUAAGAAUAAGGUGACAUGGUUAACUGAAACAUGUUAAAUGUUAACUUAUCAAUAUUGACUUUUUAAUGGCUAUAAAAGUUAAUUGUUCAACUAUGUGCUAUGUGUUUGUCUGACUAUGUGGCAUGUAUAUGCGAAGGGUAGAUAUAAAAUAGGUCUUAAUGCUUUUCGAGCUUAGUUAAUCCGUCUGAUCCGACGACUAAAAUAAUAUUUUGCCAUCGUAUAGAAUGGAACGAGACGUUGAUCGAGGCAUUGAUCGAGAAGUGAUUAAAAUGGUUAUUCAGAAAUAGCUAAGUUGUGUUGCAAGUGGAAGUUAGGCAGAGAUUGCUAUAGAUAGAGUCUUGUCAGAAGCUGGCAGAAAGGAAUGAUAUGGCACUACAUAGUGUUAUUAGAAAUCUGAGCUAGACACCGGAGUUAAGGCAAGUAUAUAUCCAACCUACUUUCUCUUUAAAAGAUUUUGCUCCUGCAAUGCUUUGUUAUGCUUUGAAUAUUGCAAAACUCCUUAUAGAAUUAGACUUCUACUAAUUAACUAGUAUUCUGGAAUUACCCAAGUAUGAAAUGGAAUACCCUUUGUCACUUAUAUCUUGCAAAUGUAUCAGCUUAAUUAUCAUCCUUAUCUUCUUCAACUGCCAGAUACUUAAUAUUGAGCUUAUAACUUUGUUUUCUUACCUCCCUCUCAACUACAACAAAUUGUGUUCUUGCUUAUAAACUAGUUCACUUAUUUGUUUCUGACUCAUAAAUGAAACCCUAUUUCUUGAAAGACCUUAGUUAUCAUCAUACAACCUACCCUGCCAUUAUUAUAAAAUACAUUGAUACACUUGAUUCAGUAACCUGUACCCUUGAUAAAGAAUACUUAAUUAGUAGAAAUCUAAUGCUAAGGUGUUGAAAUGAAUAUUUGGUUGAGAAUCAUUGUUGCUUACAGAUUUUGAACCUUGGUUUAAAAUGAAAAAAUGAAUUGAUUUAUCUGUUUUAGAAAGGGAAUUGGAUGAAAAUGUUUUAUGACCGAGGCGCCGGUCCCAAUUGAAUUAUUAAAGGCCAAAGUGUGCCUAGGAUCCUUUAUAUUUGAGAACUCGUAUUGAAUAUGCGGGUUCGGAGCUAUGUCGUGGGCUGAUCACCCAGCUUAGCUCGUAGCGUCUUAUCUGGUUCCAAUUCCAUAAAGGAGAAACUGUUUUGUUUAAAUCAUAUUGUGUUG
rnacentral:lncRNA from 1 species